UGAAAUCUGGCCCUUGUGGUCCGAGUUGUAAUUUGUAGAGGAUGCUUUUGGUGAGGUACCUUCCGAGUUCCCUGGAACGGGACGCCAUAGAGGGUGAGAGCCCCGUCUGGUUGGAUACCGAGCCUCUGUAAAGCUCCUUCGACGAGUCGAGUAGUUUGGGAAUGCUGCUCUAAAUGGGAGGUAUAUGUCUUCUAAAGCUAAAUAUUGGCCAGAGACCGAUAGCGCACAAGUAGAGUGAUCGAAAGAUGAAAAGCACUUUGAAAAGAGGGUUAAAUAGUACGUGAAAUUGUUGAAAGGGAAGCGCUUGUGACCAGACUUGGGCUUGGUUAAUCAUCCAGGGUUCUCCCUGGUGCACUUGGCCAGCCCAGGCCAGCAUCAGUUUGUCGCGGGGGAUAAAGGCGUCGGGAAUGUGGCUCCCCCGGGAGUGUUAUAGCCCUUCGUGUAAUACCCUGCUUUAGACUGAGGUUCGCGCAUCUGCAAGGAU
rnacentral:rRNA from 1 species